GGGGUGGUAGCUUAGCUGGUAGAGCACCUGAUUUGCACUCAGGAGGUCGCGAGUUCGACUCUCGUCCGCUCCACCA
rnacentral:tRNA from 1 species